AUGAACGCUAGCUACAGGCUUAACACAUGCAAGUCGAGGGGCAGCAUGGUCUUAGCUUGCUAAGGCCGAUGGCGACCGGCGCACGGGUGAGUAACACGUAUCCAACCUGCCGUCUACUCUUGGACAGCCUUCUGAAAGGAAGAUUAAUACAAGAUGGCAUCAUGAGUCCGCAUGUUCACAUGAUUAAAGGUAUUCCGGUAGACGAUGGGGAUGCGUUCCAUUAGAUAGUAGGCGGGGUAACGGCCCACCUAGUCUUCGAUGGAUAGGGGUUCUGAGAGGAAGGUCCCCCACAUUGGAACUGAGACACGGUCCAAACUCCUACGGGAGGCAGCAGUGAGGAAUAUUGGUCAAUGGGCGAGAGCCUGAACCAGCCAAGUAGCGUGAAGGAUGACUGCCCUAUGGGUUGUAAACUUCUUUUAUAAAGGAAUAAAGUCGGGUAUGGAUACCCGUUUGCAUGUACUUUAUGAAUAAGGAUCGGCUAACUCCGUGCCAGCAGCCGCGGUAAUACGGAGGAUCCGAGCGUUAUCCGGAUUUAUUGGGUUUAAAGGGAGCGUAGAUGGAUGUUUAAGUCAGUUGUGAAAGUUUGCGGCUCAACCGUAAAAUUGCAGUUGAUACUGGAUAUCUUGAGUGCAGUUGAGGCAGGCGGAAUUCGUGGUGUAGCGGUGAAAUGCUUAGAUAUCACGAAGAACUCCGAUUGCGAAGGCAGCCUGCUAAGCUGCAACUGACAUUGAGGCUCGAAAGUGUGGGUAUCAAACAGGAUUAGAUACCCUGGUAGUCCACACGGUAAACGAUGAAUACUCGCUGUUUGCGAUAUACAGCAAGCGGCCAAGCGAAAGCGUUAAGUAUUCCACCUGGGGAGUACGCCGGCAACGGUGAAACUCAAAGGAAUUGACGGGGGCCCGCACAAGCGGAGGAACAUGUGGUUUAAUUCGAUGAUACGCGAGGAACCUUACCCGGGCUUAAAUUGCAGAUGAAUUACGGUGAAAGCCGUAAGCCGCAAGGCAUCUGUGAAGGUGCUGCAUGGUUGUCGUCAGCUCGUGCCGUGAGGUGUCGGCUUAAGUGCCAUAACGAGCGCAACCCUUGUUGUCAGUUACUAACAGGUUCCGCUGAGGACUCUGACAAGACUGCCAUCGUAAGAUGUGAGGAAGGUGGGGAUGACGUCAAAUCAGCACGGCCCUUACGUCCGGGGCUACACACGUGUUACAAUGGGGGGUACAGAGGGCCGCUACCACGCGAGUGGAUGCCAAUCCCCAAAACCUCUCUCAGUUCGGACUGGAGUCUGCAACCCGACUCCACGAAGCUGGAUUCGCUAGUAAUCGCGCAUCAGCCAUGGCGCGGUGAAUACGUUCCCGGGCCUUGUACACACCGCCCGUCAAGCCAUGGGAGCCGGGGGUACCUGAAGUGCGUAACCGCGAGGAGCGCCCUAGGGUAAAACUGGUGACUGGGGCU
rnacentral:rRNA from 1 species